rnacentral:rRNA from 1 species
ACCUGACUGCUAUCGGAUUGAUACUAAGCCAUGCGAGUCAUUGUAGUAAUACAAGGCAGACGGCUCAGUAACGCGUAGUCAACCUAACCUAUGGACGGGAAUAACCUCGGGAAACUGAGUAUAAUGCCCGAUAGAACAUUAUGCCUGGAAUGGCUUAUGUUUCAAAUGAUUUAUCGCCGUAGGAUGGGACUGCGGCCUAUCAGUUUGUUGGUGAGGUAAUGGCCCACCAAGACUAUUACAGGUACGGGCUCUGAGAGGAGUAGCCCGGAGAUGGGUACUGAGACACGGACCCAGGCCCUAUGGGGCGCAGCAGGCGAGAAAACUUUGCAAUGUGCGAAAGCACGACAAGGUUAAUCCGAGUGGUUUCUGCUAAAGAAACCUUUUGUUAGUCCUAGAAACACUAACGAAUAAGGGGUGGGCAAGUUCUGGUGUCAGCCGCCGCGGUAAAACCAGCACCUCAAGUGGUCAGGAUGAUUNUNGGGCCUAAGCAUCCGUAGCCGGCUCUGUAANUUUCGGNUAAAUCUGUACGCUCAACGUACAGGCUGCCGAAAUNCUGCAGGGC